UCCCUGGUGGUCCAGCAGCUAAGACUCUGCACUUCCAACACAGGGAGCCCAGGUUCGAGCCCUGGUCAGGGAA
rnacentral:tRNA from 1 species